AUGCUUUACACAUGCAAGUCGAACGGCAGCGGGGGUUUAAGCUUGCUUAGGCCUGCCGGCGAGUGGCGAACGGGUGAGUACAACAUCGGAACGUGUCCGUUUGUGGGGGACAACUGCUCGAAAGGGUAGCUAAUACCGCAUAAGACCUGAGGGUGAAAGUGGGGGAUCGCAAGACCUCACGCGAACGGAGCGGCCGAUGACUGAUUAGGUAGUUGGUGAGGUAAAGGCCCACCAAGCCGACGAUCAGUAGCUGGUCUGAGAGGACGACCAGCCACACUGGAACUGAGACACGGUCCAGACUCCUACGGGAGGCAGCAGUGGGGAAUUUUGGACAAUGGGGGAAACCCUGAUCCAGCCAUGCCGCGUGCGGGAAGAAGGCCUUCGGGUUGUAAACCGCUUUUGUCAGGGACGAAAAGUCGUAUUUGAACAAAGUACGAUGCUGACGGUACCUGAAGAAUAAGCACCGGCUAACUACGUGCCAGCAGCCGCGGUAAUACGUAGGGUGCAAGCGUUAAUCGGAAUUACUGGGCGUAAAGCGUGCGCAGGCGGUUGGAUAAGACAGAUGUGAAAUCCCCGGGCUUAACCUGGGAACCGCAUUUGUGACUGUCUGACUGGAGUAUGUCAGAGGGGGGUGGAAUUCCACGUGUAGCAGUGAAAUGCGUAGAUAUGUGGAAGAACACCGAUGGCGAAGGCAGCCCCCUGGGGCAAAACUGACGCUCAUGCACGAAAGCGUGGGGAGCAAACAGGAUUAGAUACCCUGGUAGUCCACGCCCUAAACGAUGUCUACUGGUUGUUGGGGAGUUAAAUCCUCAGUAACGAAGCCAACGCGUGAAGUAGACCGCCUGGGGAGUACGGUCGCAAGAUUAAAACUCAAAGGAAUUGACGGGGACCCGCACAAGCGGUGGAUGAUGUGGAUUAAUUCGAUGCAACGCGAAAAACCUUACCUAGCCUUGACAUGUCGAGAAGGAGACGUAAAGGUAACCGUGCCCGAAAGGGAACUCGAACACAGGUGCUGCAUGGCUGUCGUCAGCUCGUGUCGUGAGA
rnacentral:rRNA from 1 species